UACGUAGGCAGCAAGCGUUGUUCGGAAUUACUGGGCGUAAAGAGUGUGUAGGCGGUGCUCUAAGUUUGGUGUGAAAUCUCCCGGCUCAACCGGGAGGCUGCAUCGAAUACUGGAAUGCUAGAGGAUUGGAGAGGUAAGCGGAAUUCCUGGUGUAGCGGUGAAAUGCGUAGAUAUCAGGAGGAACACCUGUGGUGUAGACAGCUUACUGGACAAUUUCUGACGCUGAGACACGAAAGCGUGGGUAGCAAACAGG
rnacentral:rRNA from 1 species